rnacentral:rRNA from 1 species
GGASAGUGCGAACGUUGUUCGGAUUCACUGGGCGUAAAGGGCACGUAGGCGGCUCGGCAAAUCGGUCGUGGAAUCCCGACGCUUACCGUCGGAACGGCGGCCGAAAAUACCGGGCUCGAGGGCGUGAGGGGUCACUGGAACUCCUGGUGAAGCGGUGAAAUGCGUAGAUAUCAGGAGGAACGCCGGAGGCGAAAGCGAGUGACUGGCGCGUUCCUGACGCUGAGGUGCGAAAGCUAGGGGAGCAAACAGGAUUAGAUACCCUGGUAGUCCUAGCCGUAAACGAUGGACACUGAGUGGGGGAGGGCUUGCCUUUCCCUGCUGCAGCUAACGCGUUAAGUGUCCCGCCUGGGGAGUACGGCCGCAAGGUUA